rnacentral:misc_RNA from 1 species
GUUUUCAAAGAAUUAUUUAUAAACCCGUCCACCACAAGGGUUACGUUAUUUGCCUUUCUUUCUUUUAUUUUUUAUUUUUUAAAUUGAGAAUACAGAUUUUCCCCUUUCAUCAUUUACUUAUUUUUUAGGAAACAAACAAGUGAUAAAUAAGUAAAAAUUUUGCCUCAAUUGAUAAUAUAGCUUACUCUGCUACUGCCAUGGAAAUGAAUGAAAGAAAAGGGGAAAGCAGUUAACGAUUCCAAAAAGAUCCAAAGCUUUUAGCAAUUGCAAACGGAGCCCACAUAUCAAUGAUGAAUUAUCAUCUGGUCCCCAGAAGGCCAACUGGUUCCUCUUCACGUUCGCGGAUCUUUAAUUAUUCCACAUUUUCAUCUGAAGUUUUACAAUAUAAAGCCUUUAAAAGUAGAGUGCGUAUAAUUUAUUCAUCAUGCUGAAAUUUUGAAAUCUGAUACAACAAUCUAACCAAAUUCCUAUACAGAGACAUUUCCCUCCCCUUGGUCUAAAGAAGGAUGACAAAACCGCAAAAAGGCUCCACAUAUUUACAUAUCAAAAAUAUCCCCCAAAAAGUAAUAUCUUAAGAGCCCACAGCCAAAUAAUCCCAAGCCCUUAUGAACUCCAACUUACCUCAAAAAUCCAACAAGAAAAAUCAUGUAUAACUAUUUGAUGGCAUAGGAACGGUUGCAUACCAGUUCAAGUGCCUCCAUAAAUAAGGAAGAAAAGCUAGUCAAUGCCUGGAAAACGCCUGGCAGGCCUGUCUGAAGAUUAUUCAGUGUCAUGGCCCUUGUCACUUCCACUGCCUUGGCAUGUCUCAGCAUCUCAUCUUCCACCCGCCUCUGGCAGGCUGCAAGCUCAGAUUUCUUCUCAGCCAGUGGAUCCCGAGCAUCCAAUACCUGCCCGUUAUCAGGUCCAGUAUCAGGGGGCCCAAUACCAACCAUGGAGUAAGAGUGAUAGAACUUCCUUUCAAUGUUCCGAAGAGAAGAAGCCUUCUUCUCUAGCUCUUUUGAUGCAAUUUCUGUUCGCUUUUUAAUUUUCAGCUCCUCAGUCUGUUUUACAGAUAUCACAUGAACAACAUUGAUGAAGCUCUUGAUGGCUUCAGAAGCAACCGUAUCUGGUACACGGUCAAGAGCAAGCUUCCACUCAUCACAGAAGGCAUAUGAAUCAGAGUGUUCCACAUUGCCAUUGACAUUGUCAUUGCUCACAGGAAGAAGGGUGAGCUUGAACCAGCCAUGGACAGAUUGGAUAAAGUCCCGCUGGAAUUUUAUAAGGCGGCAGAAACUGGAAUGCCAGGCGAAUACCGCCGACUCCAGAUCACGAGUUGCCUGUUUGUGCAGUUCAGAUGUUGAGUCACCCUUGGCUGAUCGGUUCACAAGGCCACGGACUUGUUGUAUGAUGUUGUUCUGAACUUCAUGGUACUGGUGCAUUGAUUUCCACAUGUACAUGAAUCCAUGACACAGUUCAACCAGCUGAGGGACAAGAUCAGUGUCCCUAAGACCAAUGAUAGCAGUUGAAGUGGUGGAAACAGCCUGGGAUGUGACAAUAAUUAGAGACUGCAUCCUCUUUAUUGAAGCCUUGGUCUUGUCUAGCUUUGCAUCAUCCUCUCCCUUGUACUCCUGACUCUGUAGUGUUGACAGCUUCUUCUCAUGCUCAAUCUUUACACCUUCUCUAGCCUAAUAAUACAUCAAACAAUUUUUUUUUUCUGCAUUAGCAAUCGACAACUUGAAAGUUUUCUACCACAUUGUCUCGUUUUAAAUUUUAACGUAGGCAUAGCUACAUACAAAGUUUGUACAUGUGCAGAAAUUAGAGCGACACAAAUACCUGUCUCAGUAUGUUAAAAUUUAGAAUUAUAGAAAAAAUAGUAGAAAAUAACAAGAGAAGAAUUUACAUGGUUCAACUACCGAUUCCUUACGUCUUGGACACAACCUCAAAGGGUUACAUUUCGUUCACUUGUGUGUUUAACAUAAUACAGAAGAAUUCAUAUUUCUAUAAUAUGUGCCAUCCUAUCAACAAACCACAAAUCACUCCUUUAAACAAGCAUUAAUCAAAUACAGUAGCGCAGGUAUAAGUAAGCAUAUGUCGGAUUCUCCUAUCCAUUAGGUAAUUUUUAAUCCGAUUCAAUCCUAUUGGAUCAGGAAUUUGAGAAUCCAAAAACUUUGUUAAUGAUUAACAGUUUAAUUGACAAUAUAUCUAAGUUGAGAAUAUAACCUUUUUUUUUAUAAUUAAAACGGUAUUAAUCAAAUAUACAACUUCAGUUCUCCAACUAAUAACAAAUAUCUCCUCAAAUAACCAUAAAAAAAAAUUAAAUAAUAUUAAACAUAUAUACCAUUAACAAUUAAUUAAAACAUUAAUAUGGCAGUAUAUAAAUAUACUGAUACCCACCACGUAAUUAAAAAAGUGCAACUUUAUAUAUUGAGAUAGAUUAUGCCAUGGAUUUUCAAAAUUCUAAUCAAAACUGAUCCAAUUGAUUCUUUUUUAAAACUGAAAUCUUUGUGCUACUAACACAAUAACUAUGUCAUAAUGUGUGAGUAAACAAAGUGAAAAAGAGCACGGGCCAGUUGCACCGACCAUUUGAUCAAAAAGUUGCACCGACCAAAAACUUGCUUCUAAACAAGGGGAUUAUUGUCAUUCGGACAAUUUGUCAAGGGUAUUUCAGUCUAUGUAACUAGGCGGAUAACAUCGAAAUCAAGGGAAGGAUAAGGCAAUCGCAGUGAGAGUAUUUUUAGCGACAGCUACAGCCGUCAAAAUCACGAUGAUACCCAUCAUACAAAGAAGUGAAAACAUGCAACUAAAAACAUCGAGGGCCAUUUUCGUCAAACGGCAAAAAAACCAAAACCACCGACCGUAAAUUUGCUAUUGCGGUGGAUUUGGGCAAAUCUUCGUCGACACUAGUGCAUAUCCUACUCAUUUAACAGUAACAGUGCCAAAUUUGACAACUUCGUUUCCUCAGGGAAAAUAAAUAAAAUACCUUCACUUCCUCGUAGAGUUUCUUCUCCCAAGCCAACAGCCGUUCCACGGUGGAGCAAAGGCUUCUGGGGCCACCCGAUUCGCUGAGCGAACAGGCGUCGAGCCGGUACUUAACGGCCAAUGGCGGUUUUGAGGUCCAACUAGAGCUUAGGUUGCUCAACAUACUAGUAGAAUGGUACACCGUCUUCUUCAAUUGCCGGAAACUCCUAUCGAGCUGAGCCCUGCUGAUCUCGAGCAUCUCCGAGACCUGAUCUCCAGCCGUUGCAGCCUUGUCAAAAUUCUCCUUAAUAGCCACCGCUAUCUCUUUCAAAUCCUUAUGCCUCACAACCAUCUUCAAAUCGGAGAUAUCUCCAGUUCUGAAUCUCGCCGAUGACCCCGCCUCAUCAGACUUAGCCGUAUUGCCGUAAACUGGUUGCCGCUUCAAUGAUUCAGCCCGCACCGAUGACCCGAAAUUCGGUCGGGUCCCGAUCUCGGAUCUGGACUCUCCAUCUUCAUCCUCCUCCCCUUCUUCCGAUGAGCUAGUUGUACUAUAAUGAUCAUGAUCUUCCCACUCGCUGCACUGAACCUCCUCUCUCUCUGUCUCUUCGUCGGCGGUACUGUGUUGCUUGUUACUGGUGUUGCCAUUGAUAUGGUGGUAGUUGUGCUUCUUGUUUUGUAAUUGAAAAAAAUCGUACCCAGUCUCGGUCUCGGUUUCGGUUUCUUCGUCUUGUAAGUCUAAGUGUUGUUGCUGGCGAUGUUGGUGAUUUUGGUUUUGAUUUUGGGCUUUUUGAUCAAAGAAUUCGGAGUCUGGAGGCGAGGGAGGGUAGAAAUUUUCCCAGUUCCAAACGGAGGAAGCUUGUGAUGCUGUGCUCGAGUACGUUGAAUUCGCUUGAUAAGCCGUAGGAUACUCAAAAUUUCCACUGAAAUUGGAUUUCUGACUUCGAGGAGACGAGGGAAGGCUCGAUUCGGAGAGUAUAUGAGGGAGCUUUGGAGGUUUACGGCGGCGAUUAGAAGCAGAGUUAAGGCUUGAAGCGGAGAGGAUAUGGGGCAUUUUAGAACUAGCAAUUGUGGGAGAAGGAGAAGGGGAAAACGCAGGUGGCGGUGGAUGUGGUUGGAGGGAAGGUGAUGGAGAAGGAGCAACACGUGGAGGUAUAGAAUCGGUAGACGAUGGAGUAGGGUUUGAAGAGUGUAGGAAAACAGCAGGAGUUUGCUCGGAAACGGAAAGUGUUUCGCCAGCAGCGAAGGAGCAAAGAGCUGAGCCAGUAACACGAAGAGCGCGGCAGUAAUCGGCGUGAGCAGCUGCGAGGUGGUGGCGCGCAUAGACAGCUUCCUUGAUGAGGCGGCGGCGCUCCUUGCACCGCCUCACCGUGUCCUCGUUGUCGAGCUUCGAAGCUGUACAACCCAUGUAAAAAAACAAAAGCGGUGUUUAGGGCUGGAGUGGAUGGCGCGUUUUUAGGUGGUGGCGCCCGAUUUGAGCGGUAGAAAAAGAGAGUAAGUGAGUGACAGGUGGAGGGUUAUAGUUGCUCUUUUCUCCACUGUUGGCGUCCCAUCUGUGCUCGCGUUUUCUGGCCUUUUUCUCUUUUCUCUACUCUCUCCGUACUGACCAUAGCAUUGACUUAGAGUCUCACACUGACCACUUAUCUUUCAGUUUUUUU